UUGAUGUUAACUUAGCUAAAAGUUUUGUGAACACUGACAUUUUAAUAUACCGGAGUGAUUUAAGUAUAAUUUAUAAAACAUUUGGUUUUAGAAAUUUUACUUUCUCCAGAGUUAAAGAAAAGCACUUCGCAAUGAUGUAUCUAGCAAGAAGAAUUUUGCAAAUUGUUUUUUUAGGAUUUUUGUGUAUAAUGGUCAGUUGUCACGUGCUUAACAGCACUGAAUCCAUCAUGGCUACUUCACAACCAGCCACUGAAACAACACAUCAACCCACUAACAAUAACCACUCUGAAAACGCUGGCAAAUUAAAGGGUUCCCUUAAUCGUUUUGGAGCUGGACCUAGACACAUUUUUUAGAGCAUGUAUGGUCAAAAUGGUUUCCAUGGACUUCUUAGACCUGGUUGUGACAACCUACUAAAACAGAACUUGCAUUAGUUAAUUCCUGAAAACAAUGUAAACUUAUUAUGAAAUAAACCGGUAGUGAUCUCCCCUAAACUUU